rnacentral:rRNA from 1 species
UACGAAGGGGGCUAGCGUUGCUCGGAAUCACUGGGCGUAAAGGGCGCGUAGGCGGCUUAUCAAGUCGGGGGUGAAAGCCCGUGGCUCAACCACGGAAUGGCCUUCGAUACUGGUAGGCUUGAGACCGGAAGAGGACAGCGGAACUGCGAGUGUAGAGGUGAAAUUCGUAGAUAUUCGCAAGAACACCAGUGGCGAAGGCGGCUGUCUGGUCCGGUUCUGACGCUGAGGCGCGAAAGCCAGGGGAUCAAACGGG